rnacentral:rRNA from 1 species
AGUCGUAACAAGGUCUCCGUAGGUGAACCUGCGGAGGGAUCAUUACACAAAUAUGAAGGCGGGCUGGAACCUCUCGGGGUUACAGCCUUGCUGAAUUAUUCACCCUUGUCUUUUGCGUACUUCUUGUUUCCUUGGUGGGUUCGCCCACCACUAGGACAAACAUAAACCUUUUGUAAUUGCAAUCAGCGUCAGUAACAAAUUAAUAAUUACAACUUUCAACAACGGAUCUCUUGGUUCUGGCAUCGAUGAAGAACGCAGCGAAAUGCGAUAAGUAGUGUGAAUUGCAGAAUUCAGUGAAUCAUCGAAUCUUUGAACGCACAUUGCGCCCUUUGGUAUUCCAAAGGGCAUGCCUGUUCGAGCGUCAUUUGUACCCUCAAGCUUUGCUUGGUGUUGGGCGUCUUGUCUCUAGCUUUGCUGGAGACUCGCCUUAAAGUAAUUGGCAGCCGGCCUACUGGUUUCGGAGCGCAGCACAAGUCGCACUCUCUAUCAGCAAAGGUCUAGCAUCCAUUAAGCCUUUUUUCAACUUUUGACCUCGGAUCAGGUAGGGAUACCCGCUGAACUUAAGCAUAUCAAUAGUAAAAGUCG